CUACGUGCCAGCAGCCGCGGUAAUACGUAGGUCCCGAGCGUUGUCCGGAUUUAUUGGGCGUAAAGCGAGCGCAGGCGGUUAGAUAAGUCUGAAGUUAAAGGCUGUGGCUUAACCAUAGUAUGCUUUGGAAACUGUUUAACUUGAGUGCAGAAGGGGAGAGUGGAAUUCCAUGUGUAGCGGUGAAAUGCGUAGAUAUAUGGAGGAACACCGGUGGCGAAAGCGGCUCUCUGGUCUGUAACUGACGCUGAGGCUCGAAAGCGUGGGGAGCGAACAGGAUUAGAUACCCUGGUAGUCCACGCCGUAAACGAUGAGUGCUAGGUGUUGGAUCCUUUCCGGGAUUCAGUGCCGCAGCUAACGCAUUAAGCACUCCGCCUGGGGAGUACGACCGCAAGGUUGAAACUCAAAGGAAUUGACGGGGGCCCGCACAAGCGGUGGAGCAUGUGGUUUAAUUCGAAGCAACGCGAAGAACCUUACCAGGUCUUGACAUCCCGAUGCUAUUUCUAGAGAUAGAAAGUUA
rnacentral:rRNA from 1 species